rnacentral:rRNA from 1 species
UAUUUAUUAGAUAACAGACCAAUAUUCCUCGUGUCUAUUGUGGUGACUCAUAGUAACUGAUCGGAUCGCAUGGCCUUGUGCCGCGACUAACCAUUCAAGUUUCUGACCCAUCAGCUUUCGAUGGUAGUGUAUUGGACUACCAUGGCUUUCACGGGUAACGGAGGAUCAGGGUUCGAUUCCGGAGAGGGAGCCUGAGAAACGGCUACCACAUCUAAGGAAGGCAGCAGGCGCGUAAAUUACCCAAUCCUGACUCAGGGAGGUAGUGACAAGAAAUAACGGGUCGGGGCAUUCGCCUCGGGAUUGCAAUGAAUCGAAUUUACACCCCUUAAUGAGGAUCAAUUGGAGGGCAAGUCUGGUGCCAGCAGCCGCGGUAAUUCCAGCUCCAAUAGCGUAUAUUAAAGUUGUUGCAGUUAAAAAGCUCGUAGUUUGAUUUCUGGACGGGCGCCAACACCCGCUUGUUUAGUGUGGAGGCGGCGCCCGCCCAUCCUUCUGUUAACGCCACCGGCAUUCAUUUGCUGGCGGCGGGCUCAGAUAUUUUACCUUGAGAAAAUUAGAGUGUUUCAGGCAAGCUUGCGC